GCUGGGUGUGGUGGCACAUGCCUGUAAUCCCAGCUACUCGGGAGGCUGAGGCAGGAGAAUUGCUUGAAUCCGGGAGGAGGAGGCUGCAGUGAGCCAUGAUGGCGCCACUGCACUCCAGCCUGGGCGACAAAGCGAGACCCUGUCUCAA
rnacentral:SRP_RNA from 1 species